rnacentral:rRNA from 1 species
UACGAAGGGGGCGAGCGUUGUUCGGAUUUACUGGGCGUAAAGGGCGCGUAGGCGGCCCUCUUUGUCGCGUGUGAAAGCCCCGGGCUCAACCCGGGAAGUGCACUCGAAACUGCCAGGCUAGAGUAUCGGAGAGGUUGGUGGAAUUCUCGGUGUAGAGGUGAAAUUCGUAGAUAUCGAGAGGAACACCGGUGGCGAAGGCGGCCAACUGGACGAAUACUGACGCUGAGACUCGAAAGCGUGGGGAGCAAACAGG